rnacentral:rRNA from 1 species
UACGUAGGGGGCGAGCGUUAUCCGGAAUUAUUGGGCGUAAAAGAGUACGUAGGUGGUUUCCUAAGCGAGGGGUUUAAGGCAAUGGCUUAACCAUUGUUCGCCCCCCGAACUGGGUUACUUGAGUGCUGGAGGGGAAAGCGGAAUUCCUAGUGUAGCGGUGGAAUGCGUAGAUAUUAGGAGGAACACCAGUGGCGAAGGCGGCUUUCUGGACAGUAACUGACACUGAGGUACGAAAGUGUGGGGAGCAAACAGGAUUAGAUACCCCCGUAGUCC